rnacentral:lncRNA from 1 species
UCCACUCAACAAUGAUUCCUCUUCAAAUCAGGUAUCCACUUCUGAACCCCACUCGUCAUUGAUUCUCACUUCUGAAUCAACCACUCGAUACUGAUCCCCACUUCUAAAUCAUGGACUUAUCUCAGGGCCAAAGUUCACACAUCAAUCCCUGACGCAUAUGAUGCAUGACAUAUAAAAUAAUGCAAAAAAACUUAUGAUUCCACUUCUAACCAUACAUAACAACACAUAAGUAAUAACAGUAGUUCUGACUUCGAACUACACAUCUCAACAUCAACAACCUAUAACUACAACUCGUAUUUUAAUUAUACACACAU